AACGAACGCUGGCGGCAGGCCUAACACAUGCAAGUCGAACGCUCCAGCAAUGGAGAGUGGCAGACGGGUGAGUAACGCGUGGGAACCUACCCUUUGGUUCGGAAUAGCCCAGGGAAACUUGGGGUAAUACCGGAUAAGCCCUUCGGGGGAAAGAUUUAUCGCCAAUGGAUGGGCCCGCGUCGGAUUAGCUAGUUGGUGGGGUAACGGCCUACCAAGGCGACGAUCCGUAGCUGGUCUGAGAGGAUGAUCAGCCACACUGGGACUGAGACACGGCCCAGACUCCUACGGGAGGCAGCAGUGGGGAAUAUUGGACAAUGGGCGCAAGCCUGAUCCAGCCAUGCCGCGUGAGUGACGAAGGUCUUCGGAUUGUAAAGCUCUUUUGGCGGGGAAGAUAAUGACGGUACCCGCAGAAUAAGCCCCGGCUAACUUCGUGCCAGCAGCCGCAGUAACAC
rnacentral:rRNA from 1 species